rnacentral:lncRNA from 1 species
UUUAGAGUGUUGGGGCGGUAAUAGUUUUUGUCUUAAUUUGUUCAAGUUCGAUAAAAUAAGCAACCUUUAUACUUACUGAGUGUGUUGGAUUUUUGUUAUGGCUCAUGAAAUUUUUUGAGGGAAUAGAUAAUAGAAAUUUUUCAAACUAGGGACUUAACUUAAAAUAUAUUAUAAGAAAUUUUGUUUUUUUUUUAUUUUUUUUUAUUCAAGGGAAAUAACAAUGAAAAGAAAGGUACAUACUUGAAGAAGGGAGGAUAGAAAGAACACGGUUUU